rnacentral:rRNA from 1 species
UACGUAGGGUCCGAGCGUUGUCCGGAAUUACUGGGCGUAAAGAGCUCGUAGGUGGUUUGUCGCGUUGUUCGUGAAAACUCACAGCUCAACUGUGGGCGUGCGGGCGAUACGGGCAGACUUGAGUACUGCAGGGGAGACUGGAAUUCCUGGUGUAGCGGUGGAAUGCGCAGAUAUCAGGAGGAACACCUGCGGCGAAGGCGGGUUGCUGGGCUGAUACUGACGCUGAGGCGCGAAAGCCAGGGGAGCGAACGGG